rnacentral:rRNA from 1 species
AGCAGCCGCGGUAAUUCCAGCUCCAAUAGCGUAUAUUAAAGUUGUUGCAGUUAAAAAGCUCGUAGUUGAAUUUCGGGAUCAAUAUGUCGGUCGUGCUUCGGUACGUACUGGUAUCAUUGGUUUCUCCUUUCUGACGAACCAUGAUGUCAUUAAUUUGGUGUUAUGGGGAGUUAGGACUGUUACUUUGAAAAAAUUAGAGUGUUUAAAGCAGGCUUUAGCUUGAAUACAUUAGCAUGGAAUAAUGAAAUAGGACGUUCGAACCUAUUUUGUUGGUUUCUAGGAUCAACGUAAUGAUUAAUAGGGAUAGUUGGGGGCAUUAGUAUUCAAUUGUCAGAGGUGAAAUUCUUGGAUUUAUUGAAGACUAACUACUGCGAAAGCAUUUGCCAAGGAUGUUUUCAUUAAUCAAGAACGAAAGUUAGGGGAUCGAAGACGAUCAGAUACCGUCGUAGUCUUAACCAUAAACUAUGCCGACUAGGGAUCGGAUGAUGUUAAUUUUUUAAUGACUCA